rnacentral:lncRNA from 1 species
UUUUUUUUUCUUUUUCUUCUUCUUCUUAUUAUUAUUUUUUUGGACACACCCAGGCAAGCAGAAGCUCCCUGGCCAGGGAGAAAACCUGCGCCACAACAGCAACCUGAGCCGAAGCAGCAACAUCAGAUCCUUAACUCACUGGGUCACAAGGAAACGCCUUACCUCAGUUCUUCUGAUCAAUGCUAAGAACCCCAUUUAACAGGUACUGAAUCUUUUAAAAAGUAGAUCUGUUUCUUUAAGGUUUUAGGUAUUAGAGGUUUUCUUCUUCAAUUCCUUGCUAAUUAAUCAUGAAAAAUCAAAAAAAGCCAUAAAAUAUGCAGAGUUAACACAUCAUCGUCACCACCAAACACCUGUUUUAGUCAGGUUGCUAUUUCACAGCACCAAGCACCUACGACGUUCCUGUAAAAAGCUCCCCCUGCAAGUGUCUCUUAAUUUUGAAAUUUGUGUUCCAUGGCUCCAGCACAGUGAAGCUCAUUUUUUUUUUCCUUCUGGCAUUGUUUUAAAUUUCUGUCUGCCCCCUCCCAAACCAUUGUUUCACUGCUUAUUUGUGUGGUCUACGAUCGACGAUUGCGAGACAAGGGGAAGGAAGCUUAUAAAAUUCCUCACCAAAGAUACUAACUGCAGGAGCAAGUGCGUUGAUGAGUUUUCCGCCAGCAUCUUGCUUUGUUUUGCUUCAGGCCUUUUCUCUCUUUCCAGAGUGCCCUUUGCUGCCUGGGCCGCCCGCAAGGAUUCACUUUUCACUCCUUACUCAUCCAGCUGACUCUGGAUUACAGUGGGAAAGAAAAGGAAGCUGACAGAGAAACGACGCUAGAGGAAGAGAGCAAAGCACGCAGAGCACCGUGUUACCGGAACUGUGUCCUUUUCGUUGGAGGUGUCCGCGCGUGUAUUUGCAUCUUUGACCUUGGGAGGAGCUGGAAAUUAUGAGUAGCUCUUCCCACUGAAAUAAGCCCCGGGGGUGAGGGUGCGGAGCUGGACUAAAAACAGGUAAAAUUUAGAGUAUUCUGCUGCUCCUCAAUUUUGUUUUCUUGUUCUAUGGUUGGAAAAACACUCCAAAGGGAAUAGGGUUUCAGGUCACCUGGAAUCAGUACCAAGUAUCGACAGCUCAUCUCUCUCUUCAGAAGAAAGAGUUCUUCAUAUCAUGGGGGUUUUAAAGCUGGUGAUAAAACAAAAAGCAAUUUUCCAAAAAACGGCCACCUUGAAAAAUAAAGGGCUUUUAAAAUCUAGAGCGUUGCCUUUAAUAUAAACAAUCAGAAAUGUUUUCAAUUACCUUGCUACUUACAUACAAUGGUUUUCUGUUCAGGAGAAGUGGGAGCCCUGAAAUCACAAUAAGAUGGCCAUUUAAACUGGGUAAAGAAAAUAACAGGAGCAUAGGGCAACCCAGGAAAGAAUUUAUCAAAUGAUAAUCAGUCAAUUUUCACCAUAAUUGGCUCACAUCGUCUAACUGGGAAGACCAAGAAAAUAACAGAUAAAAAGGAAAAUGAAUCUUACUGAAAUGGAACGGUAAUCUCUCCCAACCCCUUCUACAACUUCUGAUUACAAUUUUGGACCAGCUCGAAGCAUUACGGCUCAACAGAGUAAUUGACACGUGAUCUCAGAACAAGGCGUCCCUGGGUAAUUUUCUUUAUUGAACACACAUUUCACCUACCAAAAAAAAAAAAGAAGGAAGGAUGGAAGAGGGAGAGAGGAAUAAAGGCAGGCUUGAAAUUAUAUUCGGAGCAGUUAUUAGCUCCCACGUAAAAGUUUGGCUACGAAAUACACGUUUAUUUAAAAGUUCUGUAAUUUGGAUUUUCUCCUAGUGUUCAAAAUCAGGUCAAUAUUUAUCAUUUUGCACAUUGUUUCUUCAGGUCUGAUCCCUUUAUAUUUGCAGUUUAUUUCAGAUUAUUUUCUACUCAAACAAGUGUUAGAAAAAAUCAACAGCUCAUGUAUCAUAAUGCAACUGAAAAGUGGAGUUUUUCAAUAUUGGCAAACAUGUUCUGUUCUAAUUUUGGUCAAAACAAUAAAGUUGAAAAGAUAAAGAUGCUUUAAACUGAUUCAAUGCAGUUUACACAGCAAAGAAAUGGAAUACCUUCCUCCAAUGACCUACAGAGUGAGUACUAUAGUACAGAUUUUACAUGCAAGACAUAUUAUAUUCAAAUUUUGUCACAAGCAUUCAUAUUUGAAGUAUUUCAGCAGCCUCUCUCCAUAUUCUAGAGAUAUGAAUCCAAAAGCUUUAAGUUUUUAAGCAACAGAAUUAUAUUUGAAUAGUAUGGAGAAUUUCAUUCAUUGACCUUAGAAAUAAAAAAGCAAAUUUAGUUUCAAAACCAGAUUUCAUGUGCUGGUUGUUCGGCAUUACUAUUAAUAUUAUUGUAUAGUAUUAUUACUGACAAAUUUUACCGUAAGGGAAAAAAAUAGCUUUACAGUUUAAAUACCUGCUCCAGUAACAUACGGAACUUCAAUUUUAAAAUAUUUUAAAGAUAAUAAAAAUUGAGUCUAUCUGAUAGAAAAUAAAAAGCUAACAUCAACUUUAAGUGGAACAUUGAGUGUUUAAGGACAAUUAGAAACACAUGGUACAAAUUCAAUAUUUUGGUGAGCCCUGUACUUAGAAAAGGCAAACUGGCACCAUUUUGCAUUCAGAAAGUAUAAUCCUUAAUUCAUUUGUAUUUUUCUAAUAUACUAUUGACCUAUGCUAUUCUGGAAAAAAGUGUUCUCAAAGUCCAAACCACAACAAUUAUGUAGCGUUUGUACAUAUACUUGUUGAAGCAAAUAUGUCAGUUUACCAAAAAUGGGCAUUCACACUACAAAGAAAUGACUUCUUGAAAGUACAUGAGAGCUAGGCUUGGCAUGCAUAAGACAGGAGUAGGUUGGCCUCAAGGUUUAAUUUUUAUAUAAGGGGCUUGAAAAACAGUCUCAGUGGACCGAGAACAAUCUGCAGGUGUGUUAUUUACACACAAAGGGUAUCCUCUCCCUAAGCCACCUCCACUUCACAUCGAGCUUAAGUAGGGUCCAGGUAAGCACACUGUUCUUAGAGCAACAUUAAAAUGAGUUUAUAGGAGUUCCCGUCGUGGCUCAGUGGUUAAGGAAUCCGACUAGGAACCAUGAGGUUUCGGGUUCGAUCCCUGGCCUUGCUCAGUGGGUUAAGGAUCCGGCGUUGCUGUGAGCUGUGGUGUAGGUUGCAGACAGGGCUCGGAUCUGGCAUUGCUGGUGGCUCUGGCGUGGGCCAGCGGCUAUAGCUGUGACUGGACCCCUAGCCUGGGAACCUCCAUAUGCCGCGGGAGCGGCCCAAGAAACAGCAAAAAGAAAAUAAAAAUAAAAAAUAAAACAAGUUUAUAAACAAGGGAGGUUAUAAACAAACCCACACAGCAGGUUAUUUUUUUUGGAACAAGGGAGGUUAUAAACAAACCCACAGAGCAGGUUGUUUUGAGGCUAGAACAAUGAAAUAUUUGUGUGUUCCAGAACCUUCAUAUGGGCUAGGCAUCCAGGUAGUGCCCUUGCUUUCUGGGCCAUUAGCUCACUCGCUGAGCGUGGUCUCAGACAAUUGUCUGCACUUUCUAAUGUGCCACUUUCAAACCCUUUAAAGUGUUCGAAUCUGUCUUUUAAAAGAACGACCCAUUUUCCUGGUAAGGAAAAUGGCAAAAGCUUUUGACUGCACUUCCCACGUGACUAUACAUGGUUUCUCCACUCCUCUCGAGUCCUUCGGCCAUGCCCAUGGGGAGUGCACCCCAAAACACUUUCACCCAGCUGUUUCUCUCCCAUUCCUAGGAAAUUCUUAGAGGCCUGAUAAAUAUUUUUAUCUAAUUUUCCUCCUCUGUGGUUUUAAUAAAAACAGCUCUUUAAUAGCCUCUGUUGUGUAUUAUUUGCCGAAGUCGGUCCAUAGAGACACACGGCCAGCCUGGACCCUCAGGCCUGCACCUCGAGAUGGCAGGCUGGCCAAGGGUUCUCUGGGGACACCAGCGCCAGAAGGAGGAUUGGAAACAGUGACCCGUCUGCAUGACAUGAGAAAAACAAAAACAAAAAACAGGAGGGGCCGUAACACUGACAGCUAAUCACUCACGAGCCACAGGCUCGGUCUGCAGACAAGGAAAGAUGCAGUAAACAUGUAAUGACAGGUGAAAACAGGGGUCUGCAUUUUAAACUGAUAUUCCAGCCCACGGUUCGGAACCUGCUUAACUGUGUAGUUUGAACUGAUGAUGUGAAAAGCAUCAGAAGGUAAAAUCCAUCCUACGGUUCGAAGGCUGAGGAAGCUUGCUACAGGUAACUAUCAAAAAUCUGGUUUGAGUUCCAGAAACUGUGUGGAUGAACCAAGUUUCCUGAUCUUGAGAUACCGGGCGGGGGAGUGUUCUUACGUCCGGGAGGCGGGUGGCUCGCCUGGGGGAGGGAGGGGACCGCCGGGGAAAGGCACACACGAGCUCUGUCUGCUCCGGGAAGCCACCGCACUUUUCUGAGCUGGAUCAUGGCCCCUCUCCCCGUCCGCUGGAAGCAACCAGAACUGUGAUCCAAGAGGAGAAUGAGAACACCUGAAGGUCGCCUUUCACGGGACUCUUUCGGGAUAUUCCGGAUGGAAGAGAGCCUCGAAGCCGGGGAUCUGCUCCUCCCUCACAGCCACGAGCAAGAGAACUCAGACCGGCGUGGGGGGGACAAAAGCAACUACUACUCCAAUACGUAAUUGAGAAACACCGCACACAAACAUGUGGCUCAUCCAUUGGGACUGAGUCACACCUGCCGAGUAGGUACAAGAUGAUAUUGAAAGCAAAAGCUGAAAAUAAACCAUCUCUUUCCAGCUAUGAGUGACUGAAAAGCGAGAAAAAUUAUUUUUAUAUUCCUGUCCUUAUUGUUAGGAGGAGUCAUUUGAGUCAAUAUUCCUAUCUUUGCUAUAACAAUUAAAAGGAAAUCAUUUCAAAUCUGGAUGUCGUCUUUCUUUUGAUAUCCAUAAAUAUGGGUUCAGUUAGGUUUUCUGACCUCAUGGUAAGCCUACGGGAGGGCCAGCAUGCUAUUUUUCUUUUAAAUAUUAGUGUUUCAGUUUCCAAAAAAUAAGCCUUUCAGUUUUUGUACAUUUUUAGUACAGAAAAUUUUACAACCUUCAGCAUAACUGCUUUCAUAAUUUACUAGUUUGACAUAUGUAUCUGGGUUUUUUUUUUUAACAGACAAUUUAUAAGAAAUGAAAUCUUCCGAAAAACAAUGGCUAGUUUGAUGCAAUUAUUUUAGUAAGUAUCAUAGCAACCAACAUAUAUCAUUCCUGGACACGCCGAGCCUUUAAAAAUCACUUAAAGUACACACAAAAUACAGAGUGAUGGGGCAAUAACAACCCGCUUUAAAUCCUGACACAUCAGAAGUUUAAGCCUGGUGCCUGUAAAAUGCCUGCCAGUUCCUGUUUUUAGUAUCUGUGCUUGAACCUUUUAACAGUAUACACAUCAGCAGUUAUUUCCCAUAAACAAUACUGAAUAACAAAUUAGAAGUAUCUCUCCUGCUUUUUUUAACCAAGCUUGCUUUUCCCAACUAAGGAAACAACAUGCCAAAGGAAUCUGUAUUUCUUAUUCGGUACUGAAACACUGAAUUUGCACAGUAGUAAAGGCCAUUCUAUGAUCCACGGAGGACAGAACAUGCUUGCCAACUAAGAAAAGUUUCAUUAAGCAGGACAAGAUAGUUACCAAGAGCUCAAGUUUUAUUUAUACAUGAAACGGUCACCUGUUUUAACAGGUAUGUAUUUAAUUCCGUACGGUCCAACGAUUUCAGCUGUAUUUCACACACUUACUUGGUCAUCCGAGAACAACUUACACUGGUUAUUAACAGUGUCUAAAAUCCGUCUUUACAGAUUUUUUUCCUGACGGAUAUAUGCCCAGAGACUUCACUUUAUAUAUGCCUGUAUAACAAAAAGCCACUUGAAAGUUUUAAAAAAUAUUGUUCAGUUGAAGCAGCUAUCUACUGCUUUUAAAAUAGUGUGAGCCUGUAAAAAUAUGGUAUUACAUAUCUGACACUUUCCACGGAAAAAUACAUUACGAAGCAUGCCGGCAUUAAUCAACCAUGUGUUUCCAGAACCCUAAGGUGCUCUGCUAUAAUUUUGUUGAAAACCGAGUAAGGUGGUAGAUUUUUCCUCCAUGCUAUUAACACAGAGCAAACAAAUUUGAGGUCAUCACCUGGCGGGCUUGUCUUGAUUGGCAAGUGUGCAAAAAAAAGAGGAAAAAAAAAACUUUCAGGAGUUCAUCAAUAUUCGUUACCAUAUUCCGAUUUAUGAGUUAACCGUUCCUAAGUAAGCAGAGGUAACUCAGAAACAUUUUGGUCAAAAACACCUUCCAAAAAACAAACAAACAAAAUGCAGAAGGAAAGCACAUACACUCCCUUUUUUCCUCACCCCACCCCCACCACCGUCAGGGAAAAAAUCACCCUUCCUCGGCAGCAGGGCAAGCUCAUUCCUCUCACCCCUUCGGUUAUUGGAAGGCAAAUGAAAAGACAACGACCCUUUCCCUCUUCUGAUUUAGCGCUCGACGCAAACCUUUACCCACAAGCAGAAACUACCGAUUUCCCGCGAGGCACCAGAACCAGAACAGAAAGAGCGAGACUCACUGACCCAUUUGGAAGACAAAGACGACAGGACGGGAAAGCUCUAAAAAUCAGCUCCUGAGGCCUCUGAGAGAGAUUCUUCUGGCAUUUCAUCACAGCAGCCCCAGACCAGGUCCCCUCCCGGAUCCGGGAGGAGGCACUAAAUAGAGCUGUUUAUUAAAGCCGCCGCGGCGCGGGCUGCAUUAGGAGGCGCGAGCGGAGCACCUGGACCUUCCAG